GAAGGUCUUUCUUGGACUGUGUCAUGACACACACAGAGACACAGGGAAAGUAAGAAGAUGGUGUCCACAUCUCAGCUGCUUGGGCUUCUGUUCUUCUGGGUUUCAGCCUCCAGAGGUGACAUUGUGCUGACUCAGUCUCCAGCCACCCUGUCUGUGACUCCAGGAGAAAGAGUCACCAUGGCCUGCAAGGCCAGCCAGGGUAUUAGCACAAACUUACACUGGUAUCAGCAAAAACCAAAUGAGGCUCCAAGGCUUCUCAUCAAGUAUGCUUCCCAGUCAGUCUCCGGGAUCCCCUCCAGGUUCAGUGGCAGUGGGUCAGGGACAGAUUUCACCCUCAGCAUCAACACUGUGGAGCCUGAAGAUGUUGCAACUUAUUACUGUCAACAAGGCUACAACAGGCCUCCCACAGUGAUACAGACCAUAGCAAAAACCACCAGAGAAGCAGAAGUGUGA